GUAGUCCACGCUGUAAACGAUGUCGAUUUGAAGGUUGUUCCCUUGAGGAGUGGCUUUCGGAGCUAACGCGUUAAAUCGACCGCCUGGGGAGUACGGCCGCAAGGUUAAAACUCAAAUGAAUUGACGGGGGCCCGCACAAGCGGUGGAGCAUGUGGUUUAAUUCGAUGCAACGCGAAGAACCUUACCUACUCUUGACAUCCAGAGAACUUAGCAGAGAUGCUUUGGUGCCUUCGGGAACUCUGAGACAGGUGCUGCAUGGCUGUCGUCAGCUCGUGUUGUGAAAUGUUGGGUUAAGUCCCGCAACGAGCGCAACCCUUAUCCUUUGUUGCCAGCGAUUCGGUCGGGAACUCAAAGGAGACUGCCGGUGAUAAACCGGAGGAAGGUGGGGAUGACGUCAAGUCAUCAUGGCCCUUACGAGUAGGGCUACACACGUGCUACAAUGGCGUAUACAAAGAGAAGCGACCUCGCGAGAGCAAGCGGAACUCAUAAAGUACGUCGUAGUCCGGAUUGGAGUCCGCAACUCGACUCCAUGAAGUCGGAAUCGCUAGUAAUCGUAGAUCAGAAUGCUACGGUGAAUACGUUCCCGGGCCUUGUACACACCGCCCGUCACACCAUGGGAGUGGGUUGCAAAAGAAGUAGGUAGCUUAACCUUCGGGAGGGCGCUUACCACUUUGUGAUUCAUGACUGGGGUGAAGUCGUA
rnacentral:rRNA from 1 species